AUGUCAAAACUGGAGAUGAUAGAGUAGAUGCUACUGUGGUGGAUGAAGAGUCAGUAGGUGCAGUAAAUACACCUGGAUGUGGUGGGAAGGUGAAAGCAUCUUAACUGAUGCUAUGUACGAGGUAAACUAUGUUCGAAUCUAUUUUAAUAGGAGCUUCACAAAAUCUUUAAGAUAAGGAGCAAGUGUUUUCGUACUUGAUUCGCUUGAAUCUGCAGAUUCCUGAUGUCAAAGCAUCUGAUAGAGUAGAUGCUAUUGUGGUGGAUGAAGAGUCAGUAGGUGCAGUAAAUGCACCUGGAUGUGGUGGGAAGGUACUUCGUGGAGAUGGUGCUCUGCAACGGUAUCUUGCUCAGGCACAUUCGGUAGAUCAAAGAGUAUGAUUUAAACUUUCACUUCUUUAUUUAGUUCCCUCGGUAUUGCCAUUUCUUUUCAGUAAAAUCAUUCUUCUCCUAAAGUAAAGC
rnacentral:lncRNA from 1 species